CCUCGGCCGAGAGCGCGCCCGGCGGAGCGGCUUCCGCCCGCCCCCGGCCGCUGCCCGCCUCGCCUGCGCCCCCUGUCCCCGGCCCUCCUGGACGUCUGGUCCGGAGACCCGGCCGGGUCCCUGGGCGGUGUCGGCCCCCGGGGCGCGGGGCUUGAUCUGACUUCUGCUCGAGGCUCUCCCUUGCAGAAGGCCGUGCCACCACUAAAGAAACUCUUCGACCCUGCUCCUUCCUCUAAAAUGAAGAGGCCGCUGCGCUCCGGUGUAGGCCUGGACUGGUAGCGAGAAUGAAAUGGAGCAAGCGAAAACGGCUGAGGCUGGGAGCAGCUCCGUGUGCCUCCUCCGGGAAGUUGUCCCGGAAGUCACCCGCAUGGCCUGCUGCCCAGCGACGGCCACAGCCUGCUCGCCCGCCUAGCUCUGCAGCCUGCUGUCACACAGGGUCCUCCUUUCUCCUGUGGCACUUUCCGUGCAACUCAUCGUUAGCAUAUCCAAAAUCUUGUCCUUUUUUUUCUUAUAAAUGGCUGUAUUUCCACGCCAUUCACUGACUGUUUUCCGAGCAUCACUAAGACAGAGCAAUGCAGUACCUUGGGAGUGUCAGAUGUGUAGGGGACCAGGGUACUUCCGAGUGCAACACGGCGACACGGAACUUCGGACCCACGGCCGCAAGGAUGCCGGCACACACGCGAAGGUGCGGCCAGUUCUGCGUGUGAAUGUGGUCAAGGAAGGUGGCCCCACAGGCUAGAAAAAGCAUGGGAGCAAUCAAUUAAAAGCUGAGGGGAAAAUGAAAGGGGCUCCUGUGCUCAGGGAACUGUGAGAAGUUUGACACCACCAGGCAGGGAAGCAGACACAACCUUAGAACCCACAGGACCCAUGCACAUCACUUCCAUGCCUCAGGAAUUCCUGCUGCGACAUGUAAAUUCACUGGACACCCCCCCCCAUUUCCCUUUGGAGCUUGGCACAAGUUGAAAUAAAGGCAUUGGUCUCACUAUGUAGCCUAGACUGGCCUUCAAUUCACACCAAUCCUCCUGCUUCAGCCUCCCAAGUGCAGAGAUCACAGAUAUGCGCCACCACACCUGCGGAAAUCAAUUCUCAUCAAUUCUCGAGUUUGAGAAAAACUGACCCAUUUAAAGACUUAUAAUCUGAAGCCUCUUAUAAUAUGGUUGAUUUCAGCAUCAUUACAAUUAUAGUUACUGACUGUACAGUUACAAUUACAGUUACUGACUCACGUAGUAACUGAAACAUCUACUUUUGUCAGUUUUCUUUCUUAAGAGGAGAUAAUGAAAAAUUCUGAAUUUUCAAAUGGUUGAAUAAAGCUACAAGACGGAAAGAACAAA